CUGGGUGGAAAAUAGCUUGCCUUUCCUAAGUUCUGAUAGCUCUUAAUUCGGCCUUACUCAUUCUUUUGCAGCUUGUAUGGAUUCCAGAGGGAAAUACACUUCUGUGACUGUCUGAUUUGGUGGCUGACUUCCCAAGGAAGGCCUGAGAAGCUGUAUUGGAAGACCCUAAUGCUGCAGAAUUUCUGGAGGCAGAGACUUUUGCUUCUCAUGGCUGCUUCGCUUUUGGAAGACAUCCAAGCCCUACUGACGGUAUCUCCAAGGGAUGGGCCAUCUGUGCUGUUUCACCCACAGGAGCUGCAGCCCAGGAUCCUGGAUGCACCUCCCAGGAAAAGUGCAAGCUUCUUAGCACAGCUGACAAGGUCCCAUGUGAUCUGGCUUCUGCCUGCCCCUCCAGCCACAUCUUCAACGCUCACCCUCUCAAUCUGCACUCCCUGAGCUCCUUCUCCUUCCAGACAUUCUGCUGGGCUGUCUGCAUAGGGAGAUACUGCCUGACUUCAGGGCAGACUCCCACCAGGUCCGUGGUCAAUGAAUGCUCCAGAGAGGGCCAUCUGAUGGGGUUUUGAAGAUAUUUUGGGUUUCCUGGUAAAUAUGAUAACUUAGCCUCCUUUGUUUACUUAUCCAUCCACCCAUCCCUCCAUCAUAAUUAUUGAAUGUCUUCCAGGGUUGGGCACAGGGAAGUGCACUGUUACAGUGUGGUGCACAAAACGAUAUCACUACUGUCAUGGGGCUCACAUCCAAUAGAUGAGUCCAACACCAAACAAGUCAAAUCACAAAUCCAUUUAUAAUAACACUUAGUACUAAAUAAAAUGAAUGGGGUGGUAGCAAAGAAUAAUAGGAAAAUCUGUUGGAAUCAAGGAAUACCACUUUGUGGAGGUGAAAUUUAAGUUGAGAUGAAAGGUGAAAAGGAACCAGAUAUAUAAAGAGUAGGAGAAAGGGUGAUCUAGACCAAGGGACAACUAUGCAAAGAUUCUAAGAAGGAAGGAGCUAGACUAUUAAGGAACUAGAAGAAAGCUCAGUACCAUGGGGUUAAGUAACUACAGAUGAGGUUGGGCAAAAGACUAGGGCAAAAGCAUGCAGGCCCAAGUGGACCCCUGAUGGCCUCUUAUCAAAUCUGACUUUUUAUCUUCACUACAGCAAGAAUC
rnacentral:lncRNA from 1 species